rnacentral:rRNA from 1 species
UACGUAGGCAGCAAGCGUUGUUCGGAAUUACUGGGCGUAAAGAGUGUGUAGGCGGUGCUCUAAGUUCGGUGUGAAAUCUCCCGGCUUAACUGGGAGGGUGCGCCGGAAACUGGAGUGCUCGAGCGUGGGAGAGGAAAGCGGAAUUCCUGGUGUAGCGGUGAUAUGCGUAGAUAUCAGGAGGAACACCUGCGGUGUAGACGGCUUUCUGGACCAUUGCUGACGCUGAGACACGAAAGCGUGGGUAGCAAACAGG